UUUUAGAGUCGGUAACGGUAAGUCUAAGACUACAGAAUUAAAAAUAUAAAACGACGGAGCUUCUCUGCUGUUUGUGUUGGUUCAUACUUUGCUUUCUCAAUAAGCAUAGCCAGAGAUCGAAAAGGAGCAGAAAGAAGAAGUAUUGGUUGAAAUAUGUUGGUGGGGUUUUUGUUGGUUCAUCAAUUUGUGAAUUAAAGUUUAUUUCUUUUUGUCAAAAGAUUUUUUUUUUUUUUAAUUUUCUUUUAAAAUAAAUAACUCAAACUUGAAGCGUUGGGAUAAAAUUCCUAUACAUUCAAAUUUCUAAAAGAGGACAAAAGGCAUUGAGAGAGACGAAAAGAAGACAUGCAGACAGAGGCAAGAGUAGGAGUAGUGCUGAAUUCGCAGCAAAAACAAUUGAAACAUAAGCAGCAAUCACAGAUCGGAACAGUUUCCCAGCUUAUGGCUGGUGGCAUGGCUGGUGCACUUAGCAAGACCUGCACUGCACCCCUUGCACGCCUUACCAUCCUCUUUCAGGUGCAAGGCAUGCACUCUGAUGUUGCAACAUUGAGAAAGGCUAGCAUAUGGCACGAGGCUUCUCGAAUAAUUAGAGAGGAAGGAUUUAGAGCUUUUUGGAAGGGGAAUCUUGUCACAAUUGCUCAUCGGCUUCCUUACUCAUCUGUCAACUUUUAUGCAUAUGAGCACUACAAAAAGUUGCUACAUAUGGUACCUGGACUGGAAAGUCAUAGGGAGAGCAGUGGCGGAAAUCUCUUUGUUCAUUUUGUAGGCGGGGGUUUGGCAGGAAUAACAGCAGCAUCUGUUACAUAUCCACUGGACCUUGUAAGAACGCGCCUCGCAGCUCAGACAAACAUUAUCUACUAUCAAGGUAUUUGUCAUGCAUUACGAACAAUUAUCACAGAGGAGGGUGUUUUUGGUAUCUACAAGGGUCUUGGAGCAACGCUCUUGGGUGUGGGGCCCAAUAUAGCUAUUGGCUUUUCGGUGUAUGAGACCUUGCGAUCUUCUUGGCAAUCACGCAGGCCCCACGAUUCUACUGUUGCUGUGAGUUUGGCUUGUGGCAGUCUGUCGGGCAUUGCAUCCUCAACUGGAGAUGUUAAGACAACAACAUUUCUUUUACACUUGCCAAAGAACUUCACUGGCUGUAUUAGAUUAUGAAUUAGCUGAUGACAGUGUUUGAGAAGCAAGCUGUGGUGCAGGCUCUGCAUUAAGUUUCUAACCAGACUGACCCCUAGAGACAGAGACCCGACAGGAGUUAUUUUAUGUCUUGCAUUUGAGAACUUUAGUAAGAAAGUUGAGGAGAAAUUACCUUUAUAUUUCCAUUCAUCUAGCUUUAUUGUCUAUUUAAGAAUCUUACUUUCACAUAAACUUAAUAUCUCCAACAUUUGUUCUAUAACUUGUCUCCCCAAGUUGCAGUUGAUCUUUUAAUUGGUGGCACUACUCUCAAGUGAACUAUUCUCUCAGUUAUCAAAUGUGAGAUGUGUCCUCUUUGAGGUAUGCUUCUCAAUUGAGUUUCCUUUGUCAAUUGCAUAAUGGAUAUUGGAAUCCUUCAGGCCUUGCAAUGCAGAUGUUGAAGCCUCGAAGGUGCUAUCCGUUUGAUUCUAUUAGAUAGGGACAAGUCACAGAGAUUUCUCCCGUCUAAUCUACCAACAUUGACUUGAAAAUGUUUUCAAUUUUGAAUGCACGGAAAAAUAUCAAAUAUUCAACCUUCCCUCAUAUAAAUGAGUUUUCUAUCCUGAUUAUAAAAUCUGUUGCCCGUGUCAAAAACCAUCCAAAACCAUCCAACAUUAAGCAUAAAGAGAACUGUCCUGGAAGCUGCUAUAAGUUCAAAUUCUCUUGGUGAGCUGGAACUCGCAACGUUUCCUCUUGAUCUUGUGAGACGACGGAAGCAAUUGGAAGGAGUAGGUGGCCGAGCUCGUGUAUACAAAACAGGUCUAUUUGGUACAUUUAAGCACAUAAUCCAGACUGAGGGCUUUCGUGGUCUAUACAGAGGCAUU